AAAUGCAAAACACAUUUUCCUUUACUCACAUUUGGACAAAUGUAUUUUUGUUUUUGCAUUAGUGUGACGACAUUGACACAAGGAGGAGCGUGUUCCCAAAAGUUUGGCGAUCUACUUGACUGAAGAUCCAGACUCUUUCUUCAAGGAAUAUUUUAAUGCAUCAUGUCUGGAUCAUCUGAAGGUACUCAUAAGAACCUGACACUGGAGGUCACUUUUCAAUGACCAGACCUCUUCCACUGAAAACGACAUCGCAGAAAGGACUCCAGCUACACUCAAAAA